GGAAGUAGCUCAGUGAUAGAGCGCUUGCCUGAUGUGCAUCAGGCCCUGGGUUUAUUUCCCAGAACUGCCA
rnacentral:tRNA from 1 species